UACGGAGGGUGCGAGCGUUGUCCGGAAUCACUGGGCGUAAAGGGCGCGUAGGCGGCUCGUGAAGUCAGUGGUGAAAGCCCAGGGCUCAACUCUGGGUCGGCCACUGAUACUCGCGAGCUCGAGUUUGGUAGAGGCAGAUGGAAUUCCGGGUGUAGCGGUGGAAUGCGUAGAGAUCCGGAAGAACACCGGUGGCGAAGGCGGUCUGCUGGGCCAAGAC
rnacentral:rRNA from 1 species